CCUACGGGUGGCAGCAGUGGGGAAUAUUGCACAAUGGGGGAAACCCUGAUGCAGCGACGCCGCGUGAGUGAAGAAGUAUUUCGGUAUGUAAAGCUCUAUCAGCAUGGAAGAAAAUGACGGUACCUGAUUAAGAAGCUCCGGCUAACGACGUGCCAGCAGCCGCGGCAAUACGUAGGGGGCCAGCGUUAUCCGGAUUUACUGGGUGUAAGGGGAGCGUAGACGGCAGCACAAGUCAGGUGUGAAAUGUUGGGGCUUAACCCCGGAAUUGCAGUUGAAACUGUGAAGCUAGAGUACAGGAGAGGUAGGCGGAAUUCGUAGUGUAGCGGGGAAAUGCGUAGAUAUUAGGAGGAACACCGGUGGCGAAGGCGGCUUACUGGACUGUAACUGACGUUGAGGCUCGAAAGUGUGGGGAGCAAACAGGAUUAGAUACCCGUGUAGUC
rnacentral:rRNA from 1 species